rnacentral:rRNA from 1 species
ACGUAGGGUGCGAGCGUUGUCCGGAUUUAUUGGGCGUAAAGAGCUCGUAGGCGGUUUGUUGCGUCGGCUGUGAAAUCCCGAGGCUCAACCUCGGGUCUGCAGUCGAUACGAGCAAACUAGAGUGUUGCAGGGGAGACUGGAAUUCCUGGUGUAGCGGUGAAAUGCGCAGAUAUCAGGAGGAACACCGGUGGCGAAGGCGGGUCUCUGGACCAUAACUGACGCUGAUGCACGAAAGCUAGGGGAGCAAACAGGA